rnacentral:rRNA from 1 species
GCACAAGCGGUGGAGCAUGUGGUUUAAUUCGAAGCAACGCGAAGAACCUUACCAGGUCUUGACAUCCCCUGACAACCCGAGAGAUCGGGCGUUCCCCCGUUCGGGGGGACAGGGUGACAGGUGGUGCAUGGUUGUCGUCAGCUCGUGUCGUGAGAUGUUGGGUUAAGUCCCGCAACGAGCGCAACCCUCGACCUUAGUUGCCAGCAUUCAGUUGGGCACUCUAAGGUGACUGCCGGCUAAAAGUCGGAGGAAGGUGGGGAUGACGUCAAGUCCUCAUGGCCCUUAUGUCCAGGGCUACACACGUGCUACAAUGGAUGCUACAGAGGGAAGCAAGACCGCGAGGUGGAGCCAACCCCUAAAAGCAUUCGUAGUUGGGAUCGGAGUCUGCAACUCGACUCCGUGAACCUGGAAUCGCUAGUAAUCGUGGAUCAGCUACGCCACGGUGAAUACGUUCCCGGGCCUU